CCAGGUUAGCCAUCCCAUCUGCGAGAAAAUUACUCGUAACAUUCUAUAAUUAGGUAAAAAUUACAUUUACCUGAAAAAAUGAAUUUUGCAUUAUGGGUCAAAAAAUAAAUUUAAAUUCGAUGAAAAUAUCAAAAUAUCUUCAUUUAUAUUAUAUUUUGGAAAUCGAUCCAAACAGCAAAUCUCUUCUACUCUCAUCCAAUAUCCCAGAAUUUCUCCCUCUUUUAAAUCCCUAAAUCGAACCUAAUAAUUUUCCAUGCAUUUUUCUCUUCUCCCAAAGCUCCAGUGGCAAAAUACCAAAUUAAAACUUAGAAAGAACCCUAUAUUUGUUUAUCGUCUCGGGUCAGAGGAAGAAGUUUGUAGCGGGCUACUCGAUCAUGUGAGGGGAAAAGGAAGAUUGAAAGGAGAAAGAGGUUUAAAAGGAAUGGCGGGGUUGUGGCUGUUGGUCUUCGACGGUGUUGGAUCAGGUGAUGAAGAGAGACUACAAUUCAAAAAAUAACUCAAUAUUAUAUUAGAAAUCGAUCCAAACAAACUGAAAAUCUUCUCAUAGGAAGAUCAAUUUCUCUCCUAUCCCAAAAUCUCUCCCCCUUUUCAAAACCCUAAAUCGAACCUCAUAGUUUUCUGUGCAUUUAUUUCUUCUCGCAAAGCUCUGGUAGUAAAAUCCCUAAUUGAAAGCUAGGAAGAACCCUGUAUUUGCUUAUUGAUUCGGGUCAGAUCGGAAGCAGAAAGAUGUUUAAGAGGAAGAAGUUUGUAGCAGGCUACUCAGUCAUGUAAGGGAAAAAGAAGAUCGGAAAGAGAGAGAAGUUGAAGAGGAAUGGCGGGGCUGUGGUUGUUGGUAUUCGAUGGCGAUGAAUCAGCUGUGGUAGAGAGAGACUA
rnacentral:lncRNA from 1 species